GCAGUUCAGCUUUUCAGCUUGAAGCUGUAUUGCACAUGACACGUAACCCCACUGUAUGAGGGAGAAGAUAGGCAUGUUGCAUACAGGGGGAGGUGGCUCAGAGCCAGAAGCAAAGCAUCUAGUAGAAAUUGUGACUGUUGCAGUGAUGCUGAUGUGUGUGAGAUAUGUUACUCAGAGAGAUUUCCUCUGGCUUCCCCAUGAGUUUGAAAGACCUGCACUGAGCUUAGGGUAGAAAUGCAAACUUUGUGGCUGGGCUUGCAAAACUAAUUUUUUUUGUCCCCGGAUCCCAGGAUCGUACAGUUUCAUAUGCCAAAUUUUAUUAAACAUUUUGGUUCUUAAACAAAAAAUGUGGGUGUAUGAAAAGAGAUGGUUGUAUGUAGGUGAUUUAAUGUGAAAGAAGAAAGUGAGCCUUCAUUCCCCUGUGUACUUGAUUUUCCAACCAGAGACCUCCUCUGCCGUCAGAGGUAGUACAGAACUAGGAGGAACACAGCUGGAGGUAUGAAAACCGAGGCAAAGUCUUCAGUAAGACACAGAAUGAAAACCAAGUAAAUUGAAUGAAACCAGGAGUGUUAGAUGUAAAACCUUAACUGCUGGUAGUAAACCACUGUUUUGUUGACAGAAGGACUAACCCUCACUUGGGCACGAAUCUACUUCCUCUUGACAUCAGUCAGGUACAAGGUUUAAGCAUGCAAGGGAGUUACCUAAUGAAACUUCAGCUUUUAAGAUUUAAUAGCCUGUGUUUAUGAGAUCAAUGUACAUAGUUCAGAUGCUGUUUCUGUCACAAACUUUGUCUUCAUUUCUUUUUGGUGGCAGUUUAUUCUAUGUUGGAAAGCACACUACACUUAAAGAGACUCUAGAUUAACAUUAAUUAAAAUAGCUGUGCAAUGAUGUACACGAUUACAAAAGUAUAGCAGUAGUCGUAGAUAUUUCCUCUAUAAAAGAGAAGCCAAAAGCUUUUGUUCCAUUUUUUAAUGAGGAUUUAUUUAAUUAUGUUUCAGUGUUUGUAUUCCAAAACUCUUCCUUGGAAACGAAGACCCGUUCAGAAAAGUUCUCAUAUCUGUAUUGUCAUCUUUGUAACUUGAAAUGUGGAGGGAUGAGCUGAUCUUCUGGGGGGUUUAAGCCUCCAAUAUUGGUAAAUCUAUCAUUAAUGUAGCAGCAGAACUUCAGAUGGGGUACUUGGCCAAUCUCUGAUGCUGCAGAGUUUGAUCCCUGGAACAUCCUAAUAAUCCUGAUAAAUAAUAUUAAAUCUCAUGGUAGUAGUAUGCAUUACAGUGCACAGUAAACCAAACCAAUUCACAACAUGUCAUACACUGCUUCUAUUAAGAUCUUCUGCUGAGGAGCUGAGCUCAGCUCUGUUACAUAGUGUAUUUUCCAUGUAAAUUCUAAAAAAAAAAAACCAAAAAAACCCCAAAAAACAAAACCCAAAAAACAACAGGUUAUAAGCCCUCAGCAACAAGCUUUCCAAGGUACCCAAAUUAACACUGAAUCCAUGAGUUUGAAAAGGGUCUGUUGUGAAUGAAUUGCAUGAGACUGCUGCCCGAUGCAGCUGCACAUUUGACAGUGCUGACCUGUGAGAGCCCUGACAGGGAGGUCUUGUGAAAAGGAGAAGUUGUUUAAAAGUCCCAUGCUUCCUUCCUUCCUCCGAUGGGCUGCUCUAGCAGUAUCUAAGUUCUGUUGCAUACUUUAGGGCUUGAUUUUCUUUAAACUCACCUGGCUGGGGGUUAUGCUGAAGGAGCUGGGAGAGAAGACACUUUGAGCUCACUUAUAAAGUGCACAAAAAUAGUGGAGUCUGCAUGGAGAGAUUAAGAAGGAUACUGGGGACUCUGAUAGGUAUGUAGAGGCUGCUCCCAGUGCAAUAGUAACAUGAUAUCUUUGCACGUGUAUUACACCAGCUUUUGAAGAGGAAGUUAUGAGAGAAAGCAAAGGAACCACAUACAUAAUGAAACUAUAUUAUGAGUGAUGAAAGUACUACCUAGCCUGUGGGCCUCCCUUUCUCCAGGAGCUGUUUAAGCCUUAGUUUCUUCGUCUCUGUAUUCUGCAAUUGGCCCUUGUUUCGUUUCCCUGACUGUCCAGAAAACUCUUCCCUUGUUGGUGACUCAGAAUGUUUCCCAUGUGAGCAGUAUCACUGUGCUCGUGCUGGUGACUUACUAAGGCAGUAUGUUGGUCAGAACCAGCCCAGUGCCAGUGCGUACCCAAAGAUGUCAAGGCUGGGUAGAAGUAGAAGACAGAAGAAUUAGGAGGUAGGAUAUAGUGGAUCUUAGGAAAGAUUUAGAUAUUCCUGAGGCAACAGAAGAAUGAUGAACACAACUGUUUCCCUUACGAUUUCUGCCUCCCUGAGUACACCUAUCCCUUCAGUAGUAUCUGGCUCACUUUCCUGGGCUUUGACAAAGACAAAAUGAGGCCAUUUGCCCAUUCUCCCUACACUUUCCAGGCCUUAUGCAUACCUCUUUAAUUCUUCAGAAACUGAAUGAAGCCAUAUUGUUCUAAUUUUACUCUUUCUAUGUUAUCCAAAGAUGCUCAUAAGGGCCAGCAUGGUUGGGACAGUAGGAUUCUAUUUCAACUCUUCCAGUAGGCAGCCAAUUGACCACAGGUGUUUUGCAAUUUUGUAGUUAAUUUCUAAGAAGAUACCGAAGCCAGCGUUUUGCCUCAGAAAUAUGAAUUGCUACAUCAUGAUGUCUGCACCAAAGGUGCCUUCUUCUUCUUAAUGUAGAAGAGCUUUACAUGAUGAGCAAGGUGUUUCCUGGUAAAGGAAUGUGUUUAAGGUUUGCUGAUGAGUGUAAAGUUCGGCUUUCUUGAAACAUGACCAGCUCUGGUUUAAAAUAGCUCCGUACUGAGAAAACAGGACAAAAGUUAGAAGACUUACCUACUAAGAAACUGAUUUGUGGUUGAAAGAAUUUUAGAAUUAUUUGGAGGCAUAAAGCAUGGGAUGAAACCUACAAUAAAAUACUAGUAAUUUAUAUUGAAACAAAAUAUUUUGUAAAAUCCAUCAACCAUAUCCAUUGUUUAUGUACCAGCCUUAUCUUUUAGUGACUUAUUGUCCCUGAAGGAAGGUUGACUCAGAGACAGUAGUGCAGGAUCCGACACUGUGCUUUCAUUUUGGCUUGCUUGAUAUCUCCCAUCCUCACAGGGCCCAAGGCUACGGUAUGAAAUUAUUAAUGAACAGUUAGUUAAGCUGUGAAAUGUGCUCUCAAGCAAAAGGAACAUAUUCAAGCAAAAGAAACAUAUUCUACCAACAUUUUCUGGUAGCCCACAUCACCCACAUCCUCUGCAAGUGAGAGGCAAUAGGCAACAAAGAUGAUAAAAGUCUUGUAUGUGUUCUCUGGAGCUGAAAGGCCAAGAUUAGGUUAUUAAUUCCAGAAAACUCCUAAAUGUUACCACUUGCUCUGCAACCUAGGCGAGUCCCUCUGCCCCUUUACCCACCCCCUCUUCUUAAAGUGCACAUAAGUAGUCGUGAACAACAUUUUCUUUGUUGUAUGAUGUCUGAGUCACUCUAGUAGGACAGCACCUUCCCAUGUUUAAUAUAAUUAACUUACUGUACUCCUGGGAAAAAGAGACUGUUCUUGCAAUCUUUUGACUGUGCUUGACUGAGCACAGAGGGGUUGGAAGGUGCUCAACACAGUUCAGCAGAAGUCUACUGCAGAAGACAGAUUGAAUAGUUUUGGAUAUUUUACCAGAGCAACAAAUUUGAGGUCAUCUUUAUACCUUUAUGCUGUGCUUUCUUCCACGUAUCAUACCGGUUUUGGAACAUGGUAAAAUGCUUGGAUAUCUUUGUCUGUGUCUGAUACUUGGUCAUUCCUAGCAAUAUUUUAGGGAUGCGAGGGAGUGAAUGCUCAGUGAUACCUGAAGUGAGGCCAAUCUUGCUCAGAAAAGAUUAUGACUAGACUUCUCUACAGGCUUUUUUUCCUACUGGUGAUUUCUGGGACUUUUCCUGGAAAGUUGUUCUCUGUGGCUCACAGUGUAUGGCAAGCUUUCUCUGAAAUUCCCAUCUGGCACUUUCAGGAGCAAAGCUAGCUUUCUGGUUCAUCUCACUACUCCCACAGAGAAAAGAUUUCGGAGGAGAACCGAGCUGCAGAUAGAAUUGCAAGGGAGUCCCUUUUCUUAAUUAAGCACAGAGCAGACAAGAUUUUCUGUGCUUUGGUUGUGGGUACAAAAGCUUCACACAGUCGCAUCGGGAGAUCCUACACUCCUGCUCUGGGAUGUGGAGAAGGCAACUGUUUCUUCUAUUGGCUCAAUUUGCAAGGUGUUAGCCUUCCACAUGGAGGUCUGUGUGGAAGCUGUGCUUUUGACUAAACCUGUCCCUAUUUCUGUCAGUUUGUUCAAGUGGUGAAGAUGCUGGCUAACUUUCCAAUUGUUCCCCAAGUAACUAACACAGUGUGGCUGAUCAAAGAAGGACUCACCCAUCUGAAGUAUGAAAAUCUGCUUAUUCCUAAGAACUGGCAGAUAUAUUCUGAAGUAAUGUACAUUGGAAUUGAGGUAUCUGCCAGUUCUUAGGAAUAAACAGAGACUUUUGAGGUGUUAGCUAGAGCCUGACAGGUAACGAACUGCCUAAUAUCAAUUAGGGCAGUGUUCCUUUGCAGUAGAGUACUUAUUCCGUUAAUCUCAAUAUUUCAUUGCAUUGUUUUCUCACUGCUUAUUUCAUCAAACUGAGGAGAAGGAGAGCAUUGUGUUCUUUGAAGGCUUAAAUUUGGACCCAAGUUUCCUCAGGCAACACUACUGUGAGUAAAAUCAUGUCCAGUCUUGAAAUGAAACUCCAAUUUCUGCCUUAUUGGUUUUUUUUUUUAAUGCUCACUUUUUGGUAAUGAAGCUACUGUUAAAAUAUCUGUAUGUGCAAGAAAAGAGAAUAUCAGAAUUGAAAUACAGUCUUCCGUGUUUUCAAUUUUUUUCCAUUUUCGUAUGUUUCACAUAAAAAUUGGUCUCUGAUUUAGAUUAUGACAAGAUAUAUUGAUAGACACCCACAGGAAACUAUUAAUACAUAUCUUUUCCUAUGGCUCUGUCUAACUCAUGUCUUCUUAAAAUAGGAGGAGAAAGCAAUAAUUUAGCAUGAAUUAGUGUCUGAGAUAUAAGGAUUUAGUAUAAACUUUUUUUUUUUAUCUCAAGAUGCAGUGUAGAGAUAUGGGAAGGAAGUGGGAUGUCAAGUGAGAAACUUCUACGUCUGAUUCUGUUACAAGUCCAGAUACAAAUUUCAGUGCUUGUCUGAAUCUUCAUUUCAUCCCUAACACAAGACAAAGACAUAAGUGGACUUGUGAAUUAAAGAAUACAUACUAUAUAAUGUGUGUCUGUUGAAUUGCAGACACAAAAUUCCCCCUUCAAAGAAACUAUCCACAGAAAAGAAUGUUAGUUGCACUACUUCAACAUAAACAAAAGAUGUCACUAUCAGAUACAAAAAGAGUUGAGCUAAUUAAAGAUUGGUCUGAAACUGUUCAGAUCAUGCCAUCAUGAAACAAUAAUGAAUAUUUUUUAGUUUCUUUUUUUAUACAAAGGGAAACCACUGAAGACAAUCCAUGAAACUACUUUAUCUGAAAAAAAACCCCAAAUUCUGACUUAUGAAGCUCCUUUCUUGAUAGGAAUGCUUAUAGAAACGCUUCCAGGUUCCUGUAAAUGCCCCCACAUUUCACACUCAUCAUAUCAUGUGAAAUUCUUGACCCUGAAGAAGAUGCAGGGUGAAUCACUAAACCAAAAUGAAAGAAGAAGAAUAUGGAGAAUAGAAAGUUUGUGGAUUAUGAAGACAAAAUAUAGUAUAGAGCAGAACAGAAGGGGAAGUUCGCAAUGCAGUAGAUGUUAGAGGAAAAACAGCACUGAAGGAAGAUAUUAUCGCACCACUCUCCUUGAUAUUUCAAUGGGGUUACAUUAAGUGUGUUAGAAGGAUGUCUAGUACCUUAUGCACAUCAAUUUUCAUGGUUCUAUUGAGGUCAAACUGCUAUUGCCUUUUUAGAAAGGAAUACUGUGUUCAUGCGUUAUAACCAGACAAAAUUGUAGGGCAGUGCUUGCCCAGGAGUGUAAUUACCAGGAAAGCUGUAUCUGCAGGCACAGACUGACUCUUUCCAUGUCCAGUUGGAUUUGCAUAUCCUGUCCUGUUCUGGGUUACCUCCACCAGAAACAUUCUGGACUAGAUCUGAAAAUCCUUGCCUGGCCCAACUUCUCUCUUCCAGCUUUCCUGAGAGUUUCAGCUGUUCUCUCUAUUUCUUAGGAGUGGUAGAGCAGAACAUUGUCCUUUGAUUCUCCUUAGUCUUACUGAGAUCAGCUGGUGCAUCAGCCAAAAGAAGUGUGCAUAGCUGAUACUCUUUAUCCCUGCUUUCGUAUCUGCCUCUGAUGCUCUUGUUCAUACUUUUCAGUGUUUGCUUUGUUUUUCUUUUUUAAUUUUCUUUUUCUUUCUUUUUUUUUCUGUUGUGUGAACACAGUGUUCAUAGAAGAGGUAGUUCAAGGGAAGAAAUUCAUUGUCCCUCUGUUAGUCCCUUGGGGAAUCUGCUCAAUGCUCAGUUUAGCUGGAGACUUAUAUUCAUUUCUCUGUGAGUUCCUUCUGCUCCGGAAAACUUCCCCCUUCAAGGGAAAAUCCAACUUCAGCCACAAGUGGGGAGUCCCAGGCAGCUGGACAAGAGGAGAGAGGGGUGUAAAGGACAUAGAAAUUGCUUCAGAGAAACAAAAGCAUCUGUGGAGACAAUCUUCUGUGCACUGCCAGUAGACAUAACUGGGUCUUUGGAGACCUGUAGACUAAACCUAUUACUUGUUCCAUGUUGAAAUUGGCUAUCUUGGUCCCACGCUCUGGCAACAGGGAGUUUGGAAAGUUGGUGAAAGCAAGCUGUGGAAAGUGAUGGGAAUUUUUGCCUGAUAAAACACUGGGAAAAAGUUGACUGAACAUGUCAGGAUCCAGCCAAAUGAAGGAGUAAUAGAGGAGGCCUUUAAUGUUUGCAAAAGGAAAAAAUAAUACUCAAAUAAUUCAGGCAUAUUUGUCGAGGUGUAGAAAUUUUAUCUCCCACACUGAUUCAUAAGCUAGUUGGUAGGGAAUAUACUUGCAUGAGUGUGAAUACAGGGGCAGGAAUGGCACAGUAGGAAGCCUGUUGUGUGGCUCAACUGCUGAUGAAUAUAUUUAGAAGUUGAAUCUAUUCUUUCAAUAUUUAUUCUCAGGACCAAUUUUGGGUACUUUUAUUGUACCAAUGACCUAACAGAUCACUAGGUCAGGUGGACAUUAUAUCAUACACUGUGUUUAGGAUGUAAAUUUAAGAGUACAUUUGCAUCCAUUUAGAUAAUUUGUCUUGUGACAACAACUGAGAGAAAGUCACUGGAACUUCACUUUGAAUAUAUCCAAACUAAUAGAAAUUUUUCUAUUCCUUCCAUAGGAUCUUUCAAUCAGAUUAUCACUUUCUUGUUGAAUGAUAAUAGAAGUGUUAGUGGUUUGAUCUUACUAAGGAUGAAAGACAAGAAAGACUAUAGUGGUUUUAUUUUUUUCCCAUCUUAGAAAAACUGUGAGGUGGGUGACAGCAGAAAAUGUAUUGAAGAAGUAUUCCAAGUGUUGAUAAAAACAUCAUUCAAUUCUGGGUCUCGUAAGAACUUCCCUGAAAGAUGAGAAGCACAGUCUUCUUUUCUCUUCCUUAUCUUGGCAUCUCCUUAAAAGAAUCGGCUCUGUCACUCAGCAGAGUGUAGUGUUACAUUAAUUAUAGCAUGCCGCAUAGCAUGUAAUGAGAGCUAACUGAUUCAUUUAGCUUCAGGAAAAAAUCUCAAAGUCAAAUUACUUUUGUUUCUGAAGAAGUGUGCAUAAUGUCUAGAAUUUGUAUUUCUUAAGUGAUUUCUAUCAUCGCCUAAAUUUCAUAUCGUUCCUAAGUGUUUUUACACGUUUCUUUGUGUAGUAAGUGGUGAUAUGAAAUAUUUAUAGAUACUCUUCUGUUGCCAAUUCAUGUUUUUAUUUUCCAGCAAUUGUAGGACAUUUUUCUGUAGCUGUUCUUUUUCUUGAUGCUGUUCUAAAAUGAAAAACCUUUUUUUCAGUCAUGCAAGAGCAUAAUCACGUCACCUGAUACACAUUAUUUUCCAGUAGUGGCACGUGUAUCUGUGUUGCUGCAAUGAACUGGAUGCUGAGUUAUCAAAAAGUAUCUUUAAAACAUCUGCUCAGAUGCAUGGGAGAACUCUGUAUUUGUCCUGUGUUUGUUUGUUGCUUAUUUGCCUUACUGUGCUGCUUAGACUGCAAAUGGAUGUUGAACGGUGUUGCGCCUGGAAAUGAGAGUAAUGUUUAUUUGCACGGGUCUUUGUGUAAUGCUUCACCAUUUCACUGAGUUAUUUACAUUAUAUUCAUUUUACUUGCCUGUGGUAGAAUAAGGAAGUUAUUGAUGGAUCUAAUCCUGUCAUUAAGUAUGAUUUAAUUGUACAGUUUGGUACACGAUCGUCUGAAUUACGCAAGCGUUUACAAACCUCAGUCGGUCUACCUUAGAAGCAAAUUUAUUUUGGAAAAUGUAUAAUUUAUUGACAUGUUGGGGGUUAGUGGUACUGCAGAGUACCAUAGCAUCAAUGCAAGGAUAACAUAGCUAUUAUUUUUUCACUUAGCUAUUCAUUUACAUGUAUUUCAGGAACCACAAAACCUGUUGCUAUCAUCACUGUCCUCUCCUCUUAGAGCUUUAUAAUCUAUGAGUAAAUCAAUGAAGCAAGAGAGGAAUAGCUGGUAGUGUAGAUGGAACUUAAAAGGAUCUUGCUAUAGCAUAAUUUUUUAGGACUCACAACAAAGCAACGUUUUAAAGGAAAAUGUGAAGGAACGCAUAAAUAGGAUAGAAGAAAAUAGGGAGGGGUACAUCUCAAAAUGUAACAGGUGGCUGUUCUACAGGCAGUAGAUACGUCAGGGCUACUCUGUAACAGAUUUUACAAACAGAAGACUAGUAGUGUUCUAUUUGUGAUGAUAGAAAGUCAAGAAUAAGAGCAGAGAGGUCACAAGAAAGGAGAUUAAAUUAAUAUAUCAAGGUAUAAAGUUCAUUUUGGCUGAAACAUCUGCAUGGUGCAGGAUGGUUUUGCUAAAGCUGGGAGAAGAAGAUUAUUGCUGGCACUGAGAUGAUGCAUAAUGAGAAACAAAACAAUUAUAGCUGGAUGAACAGAAGAAUGUUUUAUUUAAGGCUCUUAUUCAGGAAGUAUCUGCAAGAUUUCUUUGUAGCCUCGCAUGAGGAUCAAGAGAGAAAUUCAAGCUGAACAUGAUGCUGCCUUUAUGGGCCCAGAUGAUUGUCAGGAUGGUGAUGUUUCCACCAUAAGGGAAAAAAAAACGGGCAGGUGGGAAAUUACUGGGGGAGGAUGAUUAACCAUAAUAAGCUUACACUGAUGAUUUCACAUCCACUGUGAGCUGUCAGAGAGACAAGCUGCGUGGUUAGUUGAGUGAAAAUGAUUCAUGGCUAGAAUGGAAACGUGGAUUUGUAAGCUGUGAGUAUGAAGGUGUUAAGCGCACUGAGGGAGUAAUUAGAAAAAAGGAGCAGAAGAGAAAGGAGCCAAAAUGAACACUGUUCCUCUUUAAGUGCUGGAGGGCAUUGAAGAUGUUCUCCAAACCGUGUUUGUGAACUGCUUAAGAGGUGGAGAGAAUGGAGACUCUGAAGCCAACGAAUGCCAAACUUUCAGAAAUACAUGGCAGUUGUGUCAAGAUGUGGCAGACCAAGAAUGAGAUGACUGCAGUGCUGCAGUUGUAAGGUUCAGUUAAGAAGUCACUAGAGAAUGUGGUGAAAAUAGUUGAGUUAAAUUCAGUUGCCAGGAACUGAACUAGAUGAGGUCGAAGAUGUAAAUAAUAAAAUCAGCUUCAGGCAGUUCUUCUCACAACUUGUUCAACAAACUUGGAGUAUCUGAAAUAAUUAGUUUGAUCUACUCGCUAAAUUAAACCUCAUUGCAAAAUAAUUCUGUCAGAAAGAGCUCUUCCAUUUUCCAACAUCAAGCCUGCAGAAAACAGCUGUAGCUGAUUAAAGAAGACUGGUAGCAUAGGAUGAAUUAGUCAGAAGAAGGUAAAUACGUGUAAGGUUAAAAAACAGGUAGCUGUUUUGGAAAAAGUACAAAACCAAACAACCUCGCUGAUGCAAUGCCAACUUGUUGAAACAAAUGAAAACUAAUGAAAGAACAUGAUAUAAUUGGUAGAGUUCAGAAAAAAUGUAGUUUAAAACCAAGAGGGAGAGCUAUGACAACACUGCACUGGUUUUAUAGAGAAAAAAAUUGCUGUUCAUAUUUGCAUCAAUUUCUUCCAUGCUGAUUUUGGCCAUAAUUUUAGUCCUUUUGCCUCAUUGAUAAAAAUAUAUUCACCUAAUGAAUCAUAUUCCAACAGAGAUGAGAGGAGAAAAAGCUACGGAAGUGGCAGAUUUUAAAGACAGGGUAAGAACAGGGUUAUUUGUGUUGGGGGGAGAAACAGUCAUGAAAGAAAGGUUAAGAAAAAAAAAGAGAUAGGGAGUGGUGCAAGGAGGUGUAAAAUAAGACCAAGAGCUGGGAGAGGGAAGGAUCACGGUAGUGGGAGAAGAUGUUAAAUGGGGAGAGAAGGAAUAAAAUUUCUACGUGUUAGGUGAGAAGAGGGAGAAAGCCAAAGAAAAAGCAUGAGCAACUGAAAGCAAGCUAAAGUGGGGAAGAAUAUCACAGUGUAUUUAGUCAGUUAUCACUUGAAAGAAAUUGGUGACUUCUGGUAUGAUUUAGCACAUGUUCUGAGAUAUCCCUACAGAGCUCUCAACCAGAAAAGAGACACGUUCUGUUGGACGUUAGAUUCUGGUUUUCACCUUAACGCUUUUGCCCUGCUUGGAUUUUUCCAGCUAAAUCAAUCUCUCCUCCCAUCACCUUCUUUUUAAUAAUAAAUUCUUGCUCUAAGUUUACAUUUCCCUUUUUCUUUUAUGAAGACUAACAUUUUCAUAUGAGAAACGGUGUUAAAAGAGUUCACUUGCUCUGGAUUGUUUACCCACUCUCCAGAUCUCAUCUUACAAAUCUACCCUCUUACAUUAGAAGGUUCUUCUGAUGGUUACAGGAAUGAAUGAUCUUUCUACACUGAAACAGAGUGAAGCUACCUUUCAUUGUUUCUUUCUAAAAUGGUAUCAGGAAGCUACUGUUAGUAAGGAUUCACCCUGCUUCAGUCCUGGAAAUGUUGUCUCUAUUGAUUACAGUAGAAGAUUUUUCUUUUUUACUUCCUUAUUCAGACUAAAAGUCUUUUGGAAAUUAUAAGAAGGUUUGUUUAAAUGUGGACUGAAGAAUAAAUGGAUAGAUUUAAAUGAUGAAAUGAAACUUGGAAGUACUUGGAGCACUGCAAGACAACAAAACCAAGCCAAAUUUCUUAAAGUUCUAAUUGGAAUGCACCCAAAACGAGUAAAACUUCUGUCAGGAGCAAAGGGUGAGAAAGGCUUUGGGAAGUUCCAGCAAAAGCUGAGAUUUGGUUAAGAUUAACUUUCAAUUUCCCCCACCCACAUGUGUCAUCUGAUAUUCAAAAAUAUUCAGAGAAAAGAGAAACUUUAUGGGAGAUUGUAGUUUCAGCAACAUUUCCUAGCCUUAAUUUUAGGACUAAGAUUAAAUAAGAAACUUUAGUCUCAUUGGUUCUCUCAGAACGUUGGGAUCUCUUCUGAAAGGCUGCAGCAUAGAGAAAGAAGAGUUUCUUAGAAGACUGGCAUUUAAAAGAUGAAGCAGUAAAACCUGUUAUUCUUUUUCCUCAUUUCUGCUUAAAACUGUUCACUCAUUUAUAAGAGUGUCUAUCCAAUUUGCUUUGCAAACAAAAUACAUUCCUACUGCAAAGAUCUUAAAUUCAGCUUAAGAAGGUGAAGGAGGGUAAGAGGGAAGAAAUAGUGCUAUCCUCAUUUCCCCAAGGUGCAAUUUUUAGUAUGAUCAUUGUGUAUGUUCACUCUGUAGACUUCGUUAGAGUAAAUAUACAUCAAAGGUAGCUUUAAAUAAAGAAUUCUACUUUCAUGAUGUAAAUUAGACUUUUAAAAGUCUUAACAUGCUCCAACUAUACCACUUUUGCCUCUGAGCUAAUUCAUAUGAAGCUCUGCAGUGUAGACCUACCCAAAUGCAGGAAAUAACCCCGAGUUUUCUGAAUCUCAAACCCAGUAUCUUUGCUAACACCCUUCCUGCCUUCCAAUAAAAAAAGACAGGAUAUAAGAACUGGGAGGAGAGCUAAGAACAUGAAAUUAAUCUUCCCAUGUAGCUUAUAGAAUUUAUUUACUUAAUUAAUUGAGGAGCUCAACACUUUUAGCAAAAGGAAAAAUUAGGAAGCAAAAAGUCAGUGAUAAUCUAGAAUAUCUUAAAGGAAUUAUCAAAGACUAUGGGGAAAAUCACAACAAUUGAUGAAUAGAAGUAGAUAUAGUACUAAGUUCAAAACUCAGAUCUCUGGCUCUGUGUCUUGGACGCCUGGUGACUGAAAGGAAAGGAUGAGUGUUAGAGGGCUGAUGUACAAAGGAAACACACCAUUCAGAUACAGAUUGAAUAUAUAGGUUUACAGAGCUUGAUGACUAAAAGAUGGCACAUAAUAGCGAGACUGAGCUGAAGAUGUUUGCACUGCCUGGACUGUGUGAAAGAUGUUACGGAGAAAGGCUUAAAGUUUUGCCUGUGGUGUCUUAGAAAUGUUGGCAGACACCGUGAUAAAAUAACAGAAACAGAGUAAUCACUAGGAUGGCAGAGGAAAAAAGCAGAUUUGAGAGAGGCUAAGGCUAGCAGUGAAUAGCUACUAUCCUUCCCCAGUUGGGUUUUGGUUACACACGGUCUUUCAGGGCACCUGUUUGAGUGCUUAACCACCCUCCCUGUGAUCAAAUGCGAGCCUCUACAGGGCUGUGUUAGAUGCUGGAGAAGGGCACAAUUGUUUAGAUCUAAAAGGAUUCCAUUUGGAGGCUUUCUUUGGCUUUGCAAAAAUGCACAACCAAAUUCAAUAAAGACGCUGUUGAUUUUGGUGAAAGCAGAGUUAGUCUUACGCUUUGUGGUUUUGAAAAUUCUGCCCAUUGAUGACAAUUGAAACUACUCUGAAUAUUAACUGUGAUGGAAAAAAUGCAUAGGUUCUAAUAUCUGAGACUGGGAGUUACAACUUAUAACUCCGUAAUGAGAUGUACUUCUGUAGGUGCCAGACCUGCUUGGUUUUCUCACCUCUGUGCUGCACACCCAAGAGUGACACCCUGCCUCGGGCAAGGCAGAGAUACUUUCUUGUCAAAGAGUGUCUCAGGGAGCCACAAAACAAUGAAUCAAUGGAUUGAACGUCACAAGCGCGCAACGAGCAUUCAAAGUGUGUAGCAGGUUUCCAGCUGACCAGCAACCGAAGGCUGGUAAGUAUGUAGUAGAAGCAGUACAUUUCAGGUCCUAGGGAGAGACAUGCGCUUCACUAAGUUACAGAUUAACUGCUGGGGUGCACUACAGCUUCUUUUAGGUUUGCCUAUUCAGACUUCUCUACUGAUGUGUCAGUGAUAUAGAUGUGGUUGUGUUUUGAGGUCAAACUUUAGCCUAACUGGUGCUCAGAUGCAACUAAGAUGUGUACCUGGUGUCAGGAAAUGGGAAGUUUUCUCUGUUUCUUAAUCUGGAGGUAACUUCAAGGGUGUAUUUCAUUUCCAAGUAGUGUCAUUCUUCUGACUUUGCUGCAGCCCAUGUAACUCACAAUUUCUCCUGCAUUUUUGUUGAAAUAGCAGCCUUCUCUCUGAUCAGCCAUUAAGCUAACACUGGGAUGUGGUCACUGAAGGUUCACUGCAUCCUAAAAGAAGAUCUGUGUCUGAUGCAAAGAAGAGACAAAGAACAAAGAGUUCAAACAUGGCUCUAGUCUGAAGACACCAUGGAAGAAUUCUACCUUCUAUCGGAACAUCAUCACUUGGAUUUAUGACCAGAGCAGAAGAAUAUUUUGAUGUUGUUGCUUGUAUUCUAAGUGUAUUCGGAGUGAAUGAACUAAAAGAGAUCUACAUAUUUCAGAGAGCAUCCUGUUACUACAAAAACUGUUCACCAAAACAUCAGCUGGAAAUGCUUUUCUUCUGUAUGAUCAAUCCUGUGAGUUAUGUAUAACUGGCUUCAGAGAGGAGAGGAUGGAUGAGACAGUGGAACAGCUGCAAUCUCUUCGUUUGCUGUGUGAACACUUUUUUCCUUGAGCUUCUUGGAAUUGGUAUUUCAAGCAGAAUGAGAUACUGUCACCUGGAUCAGCAUCAGCUCUCUGCUCACGUGUAAUUCAUACCAGUAGAGAAAGCAGAAAUUUUGUCUUGAGAAAGUCACAGAAACAAGAAUCACCCAGGGUAUUUGUAUCCCAAUAUCUACAGCUUCCACUCUCUCUCCUUUCUCUAUCCUUUCCUAUGAAGCCCCUUCAGAAUGAGUGAUGUGUGGAAAUGCUAAUUUGCUCAUCUUUUGUUUCUCUGCUUCCUGCUGUAUUGCAGGGGUCAAUGUAUUUGAUUAAUACAGUUACUAGUCUUUUGCAAAUCAGAAUCAUUAAGGUUGGAGAAGACUACUAAGAUCAUCUAGUUCACCCAUCAAACAUCUGUCAUAAUCUUCCUGACUUCAAGAGGUGAAAUGAAGUUGAAUCUGGUGAAAGUGUUUAGACAGUGUCGGGUUCAUGAGGUUCUUCAGAUUUGGAAAAUCUGCAUCUGUUUCUUAACUCUAGCAUUUCAGGUAUGUUUUCUGGGCACUGAACCUCUGGACCCACAUCCAGGAGAAGGGAUCUUGUAGUCCAGCUGCCCCAACUCAUUUAUGAAAGUAGUUUUGUUCCAGUAGCAUUUAUCUUUGUUACUUUUUUCCUACUGUGAUAUUUUAUGUCCAGCCCCGCAGAUUACCUGAUGUCAUUAAGCUACAGCCAUUGUAGCUUAAUUGUAUUGUUCCGUGGUGUUUCCAAUUUGCAAGGAGAAUUAUUCAUAUUAAUAACUCUCCACUCUUCAUGUCUUAUCUUCCUAAGUUGUGUUGGAGGGCGAUACAGUGCAAGCCCUACUGUCAAAAUGCUUCUGUAUACUUUCAGGCGUUAAGUGAUUUGCCUUUGGUGAAUUCACAUGAAUUCAAGGCUUUUAGGGACUGACAUAAAAUCAGCCAGAAUUCUUCAGGUUUUCUUAAUUUCCCCUCAGGUCACAUUGUCCAGUUUUGCCUCUGAUAGCAGGCCUUGACCUAAAUGCUUCUGCCUCUACUACUGCUGAGCCUUGUCUUGUUUCAGAGAGAGACAGCUUGUCCUUCUGUGUAGGGACAGAAUUUAUGCUGUUUACAGUGCAAGGGAAGGGUGGAGGUUGAGUUAAAAUAUUGCAUUACCGAUACCGCUUGAAUUCAGCAAACAUUUUUGGCCUAGUCCUGCAUGCAGUGCAAAGGAGAUUUUUUCAUUCCUGUGAACUGACAGGGUAACCAUUGAUCAUGUGGAGAGAUGAGGCUUUUAGGUUCAUUGCAUCACUAGCAUAAGAUGUAGUACCUUAUGCGUAACUAUGGAAAACUCUAACAUGUUUUUAGAGGAUAAGGGAGUGCUUAGAAAAACAUCAAAGCAUCUUUUCAGUUGCUGUUCAAAACCACUCUUGUUUCGCAGUUUUUAAGCACUAUCACUCAGCACUGGUUUUGCUUCCUAAUGUUGAUUUGCUUUCAGCUGAGCUUUUGUUUCGCAAAGUUUGUGAAACACACCUGCCUAAAUACUUCAGCAAUAUGGAGCAAAUCUGAAAAUGGCUCAGUAUCUAUUAUUUCAUAACUGAAACCUAGUCAGGUUUCUUUUGUACUUUAGUGCGAUAUUGUAAGCCACACAGGAAACCUACCUUCAUUUCUAUAGUGACUUAUUCUAGAAUAUUUGGUCAGAUAUUAUCAACUAUAUAAUAUAUUAAAAUUACUCAGUGUUGGCACCACUCCUAAAUUCAAGCCUGUCUACAUGCAUUAGAGCUCUAUUCGGAUAUUCAAAGAGAUUAAAAUGAGUUUCAUUUUCUGCCAGACGACAAAUAAAGUAACCAUCAAAGCAGGUAAAGCCAAAAUAAAAAGAAAAAAAAAGACACUGUGAAAUUUUCUGAAAUGUCUUCUUUCUUUAUUUACAAAAAGAUUAGGUCAAGUGAUUCUUUUAUGACAAAUGGUGCUCCUGUUCCUACCGAAAUCAAUGACAAAGCCUCAUUGAGAUCACUGGCAGCAUAAGCUGUUCCAGUUAGGCUGCACAAACACAAACCCUGACUGUGCCUUCGCUGACUUCAGUGUAAAUCUGCAUUAACCCGCCUCAACUUCUGUCUAGAUAGAACUUGACUGUUCUUGAAGUCCAUCAAAAUGGGUUUCACUCUUUCUGAUCAAAGUACAGCUGUUAAUGAUGAAGAGAGAAGUAUUUUUACUAACAGGAACAGAUGCAAAGAUAUGAGUUAAUGAAACCAAACUGCAUAACUAUACUGAUCAGCAGAAUGUUCAGCUAGCAUCAUCAGCAUUGCCAGAAUGGAUUUCAGUGGAAAUAUACUGCUUUUUCGCAUGCAGUGGUCUGGCAGACUACACAAUUUUCUCAGGUCAGGGGAAGCUUAGACAUAGAAUCAUAGAAUCAUAGAAUUGCUCAGGUUGGAAAAGGCCUUAAAGAUCAUUAAGUCCAACCACAACCUAACCAUACUGCCCUAACGACCCUCCGCUAAAUCAUGGCACUGAGCACCACAUCCAAACAGUUUUUAAACACAUCCAGGGAUGGUGACUCAACCAAAUGCUGAAGCCUAAAUACUUUCUAGUCUCAGAGUCAAACUGUUUCACAUUGUCUCACUCUCUGUCCUUCUCCCCAUUCCAGUUUCUCCCAGCAUUUAUAUAUUGGUGAUUUUCUGAAAACUUUUCAUAGGAUUCCCCACAUCCUCCAGAGCUUAAUAAAAAGUCUGAGUCUGAAGGAAGGUCUCCUUGUGAGUUAGUAAUUGGUUAGGAGAUGAAAAGCAAAGGUGGGAGCUACUGGUCAUUUUUCACAUUUCAAGGAAGUUAGACGAGGAAAGCAGGGAAAGGAGACUGUGCCAGACCCUACUUUGUCCAGCGCAUUCAGAAAUGGCCUGGAAAAGAUGGUGAUAGCCAAGGUGGAUGAUGAUACAAAGUCAUUUCCACUAGUCAAUAAGAAAAGCUGCCUGAGAAAUUAGCACAGGGAUUUCACAUCAAUUGCCUAAGUAGUACAAUAGUAAAGAAAAUACGAGGCUGAUAAAUGCACCAGUGAUAACUGUGCAACUGUGAAAAAUACAGCCCUAGGAAAUGCAGAUAGUUCUGAAUGAGCUGUUGACAUUCAGCAGAGAGAUCUUGGAGUCACUGUAAAUGCUAAUAUUAAAAAAAAAAUAACAUCAGCUUAACAUUCAGACCAGGGACUGGGUGUGGUUCUUGGCUUAAAAAAACCGAACUGCUGGUUGCUAGAAACUGGAAGAUAUAAAAGGGGAAGGAACUCUGUGUACUCACCCAGUUUCCAGUAAUGUCCAUUGCUUGUCACUCCUGAGAGAUAUCGAGCUAUAUAGAUCUUUGCUAUGACCUACUUCAUCUGCUCUUAUAUCCUUAUGUAAGAUGAACUGUACAAGAAUGUUGAUCUAAGCUGUAGUCACAAAGGAAAGUGAAACUAUAGAGAAGUGUUUGACCUGAGAACCAAUGUUGCAAGUCCCAGGCAAAGGACUAAAGGAUCACAACAAACAAAAAAGCCUCAGAAGAUACCACAAAGACACACUAAAUUAACCUCCAGCACGUUAGAAGCUUGCUAGAUGUUGCUGUUGCUAUAGCAUGAGGGAUGAUUGAGACUCCAAAAUACCAAAUAAAGCACAGAAACACUUGAUGAGCUCAGAGACAUCUGUGAACAGUACAUUCUGGAACUGUAGAGUGUCCAGUAGGUGCAGAAUGAGACAGGCAUCAGCUUAAUGAACAGUGUUUACAGGAAAAACAGCAUCUUCCCCUCGGAAAGACACUGAAAAGAAAGUAAAAGAGCUGUCAACUUUAAAGCAAAUGGAAUCCAUCCCAGACUGCUAAUUCUUAUCUUCUGUUACGUAACUUGACCGUUAAACUGAUGAUUGUGCCUGUUGUGCUUGACAAGGCAUAUGGAAUAUUACAAUAUCUGAAAGU